rnacentral:rRNA from 1 species
GCUUUUCUUAUAUAAUGGAAAGUAUGGCCUGCUCACUGACUGAUUGUUAAAGAGCCGCAGUAUACUGACUGUGCAAAGGUAGCAUAAUAAAUAGCACUUUAAUUGAGUGCUGGAAUGAAUGGUUAAACAAAAGAAAAACUUUAUUAUACGUAACUUUCAAAAUUAAACUUUAAGUGCAAAUGCUUAAAUCUAUGUGAUAGACGAGAAGACCCUAUAGAUCUUUACUCUAUAUUUAAAUUGUUAUCAGUUUAGACAAGAGUUUUGUUGGGGUAACAAGAAAAUAAAUAAAAUUUUUCUUUAACUUAAUUAAUUAUCAAAAGAUAAAUGACCUUAACAUUUAAAUCAGAAGAUAAGUUACCUUAGGGAUAACAGCGUAAUAAAGAGUUAGAAGAACCAAUUUUAACUUGUGUUUACGACCUCGAUGUUGAAUUAAGAUUACUUUGAAAAGUAGAAGGUUCAAUAGUUUAGUCUGUUCGACUAUUAAAAUCU